rnacentral:rRNA from 1 species
UGGGGAAUAUUGCACAAUGGGCGCAAGCCUGAUGCAGCCAUGCCGCGUGUAUGAAGAAGGCCUUCGGGUUGUAAAGUACUUUCAGCGGGGAGGAAGGUGUUGUGGUUAAUAACCACAGCAAUUGACGUUACCCGCAGAAGAAGCACCGGCUAACUCCGUGCCAGCAGCCGCGGUAAUACGGAGGGUGCAAGCGUUAAUCGGAAUUACUGGGCGUAAAGCGCACGCAGGAGGUCUGUCAAGUCGGAUGUGAAAUCCCCGGGCUCAACCUGGGAACUGCAUCCGAAACUGGCAGGCUUGAGUCUUGUAGAGGGGGGUAGAAUUCCAGGUGUAGCGGUGAAAUGCGUAGAGAUCUGGAGGAAUACCGGUGGCGAAGGCGGCCCCCUGGACAAAGACUGACGCUCAGGUGCGAAAGCGUGGGGAGCAAACA